CACCUCCAAAAAGGACAAGACCCCUCGACCCUCAGCCCUGGUUCCUGAUUUGACUGCUUUACUCUGCCUCAACCCAAGGAUCUCAAAGUUGCAGCAACAGACUUUGAGAAAAGACAAAGGUCACUGAGUGAUGAAGAUCUGAUGUGUUCGAAGGAUAACAGCCAGUUCUACUUUGCUUCUAUUCCAAAGAGGAUUUUGCCGUAUAAAGACAAAGACUCUGACCAAGGACAUUGGAACCUUCCGUUGCUGAGAUCAUUUUCCACCCGGGUAUGAUUUGAACUGCCUCCCAAAGCCUCUUUUAGUAAAUCAAGUGACACAGGUUAGGGAAAGAAGUUAGGGAAUUGUUUAGGUGAUUGUAUUCAAAUUGAUUUUUACUUUUAUUUUGUAAUCAUUGAUAAUUAAUCUGUCUGUCAUUUACCCCUGCUAAAUGCUUGCUUAAUAAAGAUACAUCAAAAUUAGAUUGAAAAUUGUGGACAUUGAAAUUAAUUGAGUCAUUUGUCAUUUUA